UACGAAGGGGGCUAGCGUUGUUCGGAAUUACUGGGCGUAAAAGCGCACGUAGGCGGAUUGUUAAGUUAGGGGGUGAAAUCCCAGGGCUCAACCCUGGAACUGCCUUUAAUACUGGCAAUCUCGAGUCCGAGAGAGGGUGAGUGGAAUUCCGAGUGUAGAGGUGAAAAUUCGUAGAUAUUCGGAGGAACACCAGUGGCGAAGGCGGACUCACUGGCUCGGUACUGACGCUGAGGUGCGAAAGCGUGGGGAGCAAAGCAGG
rnacentral:rRNA from 1 species